CUGACACAAAUGGGUCUGCUCUGCUCUUAUAUAUGUAUUCUGUAACUUAUGCAUAAGUACUCCUCCAUGCAUCAUAAAUUCUGUUGACCAUGAUAUGCCAAAAAUAAGUUUUUUUAAAAAACAAAGUCCGUGAAUGUUUUUGGCUCUUGCAUUUUCACGCUGAUGUAUCUCUAUAUGUGCUUUAAGGUUAACUCUUUUUGCUUGGGAUUGUUUGGACAAGUGCUUUGUUGGAUUGAAACUCUACCAUUUAUUGAAGAGGAUUUUUCAAGGAAAAGGCAAUGAAGACCACUUCCAAACCAUUCAUCACAGAGCUUUUGCAUGGGCUUCAUAUGCUGCCGUUGUCACUCUGGAAUUGCUGGAUCAGCUUGAAAAAAAUGAAGCGUGUAGAGGUCCUCGUAACAGACAGAAAAGGAGGGGUUUGUGGGAUGAGGCGCAGGCAUGAAAGACACUGGUGGGAGACAAAAACGACAACUGGAUUACAGCUGCCUGCUGGGCAAAUUGCUGGCUGAAAGGACGUCGCUGCAUAUACAGAUGCCUCAGCAUCUACAGUCGCUGUAUGAAGGCUGCUUACCCCAGCUUCCGUUCUGCACAGCUACAAAGGGAGCAGAAUGGCAAAAGGAGCACAGUCCCAUGCUCCCAAACACACCUCCUAAACACCCAUGGGCAGCAGCGCCAGGGAGCAUCAAGUUGUUCCCAGGAAGCAGUCAUGGCUCUGGGUUGUUAGUGACUGCUGCACGUUGGCUUGGUGGUCAUUUGGCAUUGGCGGCCCAUGGCACUGAGUGCCACAGCACUGCGCAGCUGAGUGUUGGAAGUCCCCACUGGCAAUAUCAUGCUCUCUGCUCCAUCUAUGGAGAUGGAUGAGUCCAAGUGGAUCAGCACAUCCUCAGGCACAAAUGCGGUGCUUCACAACAGCUAUCGAUAGUGCUUCCCCGUGCUGAAGGAAAAUGGGAACCUGCAACACUGGCAUUACAUCACAGGCAGUGGCUGGUUAUUGAUGUCAUCAUUCCUGUCACUUGCCUGAUAUAUACUGCCUGCAGUGACUUACCUCCGAUCUAUAGAGGCUGGCUCCUGGAGGUCUGCCUUCCAGUUAGCAGCGCCGGCGAGCAGCAGCACCUGUGUCUCCACGCCAGACAGCUGGCACGCUCCAUGCAUGCCACCGCGCACCAUCUGUGCCACACAUCACGUGCCAGUUACGUGACUGGGGAGAGUCAGGAGGAAGAAAAAUAUUUGCUUCCAUGAAUCCUCCUACUGAGUAAAGUUCUGUAGCAGAAGUUUUCCAGUUCCUGAGGAUGCUGCUGACUGCCUUUCCUUGCUUGCUUAAGUCUCCACAGUGCUGAAAAUGAAGUCCAAGAUGUGUGUUCUGCACGUUUGCCAUUGCAACUCGAGGAGACAGAGCUCAGAUGAAGUUCCAGCUAGGCAAGAGACCAAAGUUCACCCUACCCACAGCACUGCAGAUUGCUGCACAGCCCCAUCUUUGUGCACUGGAGAAGCAAAGCACGCGAGGAGGGAGCGCGCUCCCAGCUGCCAGGGGCUGACAACCGAAAGGUGCAAUAUGGGACAAAGCAGAGCACAGAGAGUGAUGUGGGAACGUUAACACUUGUAAGCUAACAGAUGUGCAGGAAUGUCCUCGGCUCGCCAUCGCUUUUCUCUCCAGCAGAAUAUGACUGACAACAGAACACCAGGGAACAGCUGGGUCGAAACGCAUAAUAUUUUCCUGCUAGAGAAGGACGCUGAUUAGGCUGCGGAGUACCUAAUUGGGUCUUGGCCUUGAAUGAUGGAAAACUAAAGCCAGGAGGAGCACACCAAUGAGCAGCACCAUGUUACCAGCAGAGGUCCGGUGGCUGGAGGAGCGGAACAUUAGCACAUCCCUAAGGCCAGGAAGUUCAUAUGAAGUUUCUGAACCUCCACUUCGGCCCUUAGGGAGAAACAGCCCGGAAAUAAGAUGCGGACAAUGGCAGUUCCAACCCAACCCAUGACCUCUGCCUUGAAACAUGGUGGGUCAGCCAGGAGGUGAGGAGGUGGGGUAAAGCAGAUGAGCUGGAUGAGGAAUACGGUGACAAACUCCCCAUCUGCUGUUCGCUGUUGGAAGCAUCCAGAGCAAUAUUUGAACUGGUGGGAAGAAGUUGCAGAACAGUGGAGAUCCCACCGCCAUUCAGCCAUGAUGGAGGACGUGUUUUCAGACACAGCCCACUCCUCCUGCCAAUUUGCUGGGGUUGCAGAAGAAAGAGGAGGAAGAGGAGAAGGAGGAGUGGCCAGUGGUGGUGGUUGCUCUGACUGCAGCAGCUGUGGAGGCCCUGCUAAUACAGUAACUUCCUUAUCUCAGGAAACCCAAGUGGCUCCAACAAGAGAAACAGAGUAGGACAAUCCAGGAGAAGACAGCUGACUGCAGUGUUUACUAGACUGCGGAAUAGACAACUUGCAUUGUUAAAAUUGAUCAGAACAUGUUCCACUGGAACUAAGCAGAUAAGAAUUACUUCAUUCUUUUUUGCCCCUGAGCACCCUAGGAGACCUGUGUUGGAUCUGGGCUUUGUCUGCUUGAAAAAGUGGAAGGGUUGACCUGCUGAAUGGAGAACCACUAAAGCGCUCCAACAUUACUAUGGUCUUAUAAUGCCUGAGACAGAUCACAAGAUUAACUCUUAUAAUCAACAACAAGAUCAUCAAUUUGUACACUAUAUAAAUUAAAGUGCAUGCAUAUAAAUCUGCAACCUUGAAUAAUACUGUAACAGCUUCUGCUUUGUUUGUUUUGUGCAGCUUCUUGCUUUGACCAUUUCUUGCUUUGACCAUGAAUAUGCCUGCUGGGUCUGGUGCAUGAAAUCCCUUCCAAGUCCUCCCUUUUGCUUCACGAUGAUGCAGAAGGUGACUCUUCAGUAAGUAACACAAAAUGAUUUUAGACUUGUAUAAAUAAUAUACACGUUCUGUCUCCCUUUGAUUGAAUGAUGAAUAGCAUUUAGAGCGAUUGAUUUGCCGGCAGGAGCACUCGGCGGUGGCUGGAACAGCUUGUUCUGCCCUUGGAUCUCCCAAAUGAGUUCCGCAUCUCCCGCAGCUUGGUCUUCUGGUGCUCCUCCAGCACUGCACAAGUGCUUGGCCUUGGCUUGGUCACCUUGCCCCAACACACCCGUGUCUCAUGUCCCUGCCUGCCCAAAACGCCUUGCACGGCAGCUCGAUCUGCUGCUUAGAUGGCACCCUCUUUAUUUUCUUUGAUAUUUAACAGAAAAUAAUUCUGCAGUGAGCUUUAUUUAAGCAGCAGGAUAGAUUAAAAAAUGAAAUAUGUUUAGCAAGAUUUGGGGGAAAGGCUGGAGUAAUUAAUUUUCAAUAAUACCUGGCAUUUCUAGAACUCCUUUCAUCCCGAGAUCACCAAACAGUUUACAGACAUUAAUUAAUUAAAGCAUUAUGAUGCCCCAGUGUGGGGCCAUUGCCUGCGUGUCUGACUCAGACAAACUCUCCCCAAAUCCCCGGACGGGCAAGCGCUGUGCACUGCGGUGUCUGCACCAGAACUAUACCCAGGAGUAAAUACUGCUCAGCUUUCCUAAGGUUUGCACUCUGUGGCCCUACGUAAAUAUUUUCCAGUGAGUUUGAUUAUUUGUCUUUUAUUCUCUAUCAGGAAAGCCCCAAAUAUCUCAGUAAUAAAAUUUCCAGCGUGUGUGUGUGCAGGAGGACAGUUCUGAUGGUUAUUUUUUUGAUUCAGCUUCACAUUAAAAUAUCUCUGUUCUUGAAACUCCCAUUGCAGGCUCAGAGCUGGACAUGUAUUUUAAGGUUUGAUUUUGGAGUGAGCUUGCUGGGCAUUUUUGACAGCACAGUAAAUUCCAUGGGAAGAGAAGAGGUGUUCAAUGUUCACCCAGAGGGAUGCGCAUAGCGUCACACUCCUGGAAAUCACCCUGAAGUACAAGUUCAGUGAAAUCUUAUGAAAGCUGUAGAUUAUACAAACUUUCAUCACUCCAAUGAUUUGAUUCAUGAACGCAUAAAUAGAUAGAUAGAUAGAUCCAUCAAGGAAAUCCCAAGGGAACAAUGCAAUGGUGUUUGUGAUUGGAAAAAUAUUAUAAAAGAGCUCACGUAGAGCCAAUAGUUAGGCAGUUUUGUAGCGCCAAGAUAAAUAGAGAAGAAAUAGCAUUUCAUGAUCACAUUUUUAAAGGAUGUUGGAAGUUACCAAAGCAGGGGAAAUCCUGUAGGGAUUGCCUAUACUCAGGUGUGUUCCCUUGUGGUUCUGCCACUGGCCGGCCACCUGUGGCCCCAGUGCUGCCCCAGGACUAUGGAAUAAUGAGAUGGCACUUCGUACAUGGGCAAUGCUCUCGUAUGAAGGGUUUGAUCUCAUCUCUCAGCCAUUCAGACACUGGAUGAUGUUCCCAUUUGCCAUAAGACCUUCCAGUUCAGCUGGGAUAUUCAGCAGCUGUCUCCUGGAUCAGUCCUGAAGGAUGCAUUUGUAACAGAAGAAUGGAAAAAAUGAACUGAUUUUUUGUUGUCCACUUUCCUCCUGGAUUGGCUAUUUUCAUAUAAACCAAAUGAAAAUUGAUAGCAGCAUGGAAGUCCCUUUCACUCCAGGUUACCAGGCUAGCAUCUAGCCAGAGGUUGGGCUGGUUAAGUCUGCCGCUUCUAAUUUUUUAUUUAUUCCAACUUUGUAUUUAUUCCAACUCAACACUGGGGUGAAAAAAAAAAAAAAGAGGCCACUCAUUGGCAGAGACAGGAAUUGGAGGAAAUGCUAGGCAAGUGCUACAGCACCUUGGUGUCCCAGCAGCUCCCACUGGGAGGGCAUCACCCAGUGUGCUCGGCAUGGAGCCACAUGGAAGUGUGUGGAUAUAGAAGUGCCCAUGUGUGCUAGGGAAGGUGCUGUUCCAAGCAGGAAGCUCCAGCGGAUGGUGGGACACUGCUGGCUUGUUGACUGUGUGGAAAGCGUAUCACUGGGGAGCACCACGACGAGGAGGUAUGAGCAAAAAUUCUUAAAUAAACACAAGUGACAUUUGGCAUAUAAAUAAGAUAGGGAAUACUCUUGCACAAGCAGCACAGGUCAACAGCUAUCUUUUAUCUCCCAGAGUAAAAUAGGUUGCUUUAGAAAUAUAAAAGCACAAAGUAGUUGUGGAAGGGGUGGUGGAAGGCCCCGGCUGGUGCUGCUGCGGGCACUGGUGCUGCCCUUGAUGGCACAACUCGGCCCCUGGCUGGGCGCCUCUGCAACUUCCCUGCUUGAUUUUUUUCCUUGCAUCUGAUUAAUGCAUAACAAGUCCCUUCAGAGAGUAAAUACUGAUCUGAAAUAGCACAGUAAACAAAUAACACGGGAACAGGCUUCGAGUGUCUAUGUACAUACGUCUAUAAAAUGCAUCGCAUACGCACGCGUGCCCACGUUGUUAUUGUGUAGGUUAGCUAAGGGGAUUUACCUCCUUUUUAAUAUUUUUGAAGACUGCUUUAUGAUCCUGUUGACCCGCUAUUAGCAAAAGCUUAGCUUUCAACAAAGGUAAUUAAAUUAUAAAAUCACUGCUGCAAUCAUCAAACUACUCAUAAAACAAGAAAUGAAAAAAAAAAAAUACCCUGAAAUAAAAAUCUUGCAGGCUUCUCCUCGUGUAAUAUUGCUCCCUGAUGUUAAUUACAUUUAAAUGGGAGAGUACUAUUUUGGUAUCAUUCAUACGCCUCCAAAAGUACUUUCCAGUUUAUCAUACCUGUCAACCCCAGUGCAUCACAGGCUAAUACUUUAUUAAGAAAAAAAUCAUUAGGGAGCUGCUGAUCCCAUUUAAGUACAUUGGGCAGAAUGUAAGACUAAUUAAAAAGCAUAUUUUUACAUUAUUAAUUUCUGAGUUUCACACUUAAUGAAUGUGAAAUGACAGGGCUACUAUUUUUAUAUUCAGGCUCUCUGGGCUCUUCAGCCAGGGGAAUUAAAUUCUGGGGAUUUUUGCAAAGAUGCUUCUUGGGAGAUUUGUUUUCAAGAACAGCUAAGCUUUUUUAGCUAUGCCUUUUUCUGGGAAAUUAUACCAAAGCAUAUUACAGCCACUUAAAAAGAGUGGUUAAAUAGAUGUUGUGUUGGGUUGUUUUUUUUUUUUUUUUUUUUCCAUCGUGCUGCUAUAAAAGUAUUUUAGAUGAGGUAUAAAAUAUGGUUUUUAAAUGAUAUUAUGAUUUGCAAACACUAAAAAAUAAUUGCGGUGGAGUUGAGAGAGAGCGAAAACAUCUAAUCUUUAUUGUGUAAGACAAUGUGAUAAAAUAUUUUACAGCCAAAAGCUCAUUUUGCAUCUGGAAAAUUGUGCAAACUGAUGGGGGGAAAAAAUCUCAUUAAAACUAAAGGUUAUUUUUAAUAUUCCUCAAACAAAGCAACGCAUUAUAACCGCAUUUCUCCUCCGCGUAUUUAUUAAAUCAGACAAUUGUACGAAUGUCUGACGCUCUAUUUAAAUAAAGACAUAAAACGGCAGAGGCCGUGUGAUCAGGCAGGCUGAGCUGGAUUUAUACCGGCUUUUAGAGACCACCGGAGUCAAAGCACAGCACCGGUGUUGGAGGGGUUUGCUUGUUUGUGCUGAGCAGUCGCAGCAUUACGGUUGUUAUUAAGCAGGAGGGGUUGCGGUAGUGGAACCUGUGCGGGGUGAGGUUGGCACUGCCGUCCCUGCAAGCACGACACAGCACAGCUCACUUUUAUAGGGCUGUGCAAGGAGGAGUGGAGAAAAGCUUUUUUCCUCCCCCCCCCCCCCCCCUUCUUUUUUUUUUUUUUCCUCUCUCCAAAUGUGCUUACAAUUACCUCUCUGUAUUUUUAUUGUCUUUUUACUAACCACAAAACUCACACUGGAGGCAAAGCUUAACGGCUGAGGCUUUCCUCAUGUAAAUAUUAGGAAAUUACAUUUGUACAAACUGCGCGGCUUUGUAAAGGGGGCUGGAGCCACUCCAACACAAAUUAAUCAGGAUAAAGUUGCUCUAUGUUCAACAUGACCAUAGUUUAUUUUCUUAAAGUAUUAAUUUGUCAACAGCUUUCCUGCCUCGCUGUGACUCAUAUGGAUGGCAUUGAGGGAAGACACAGAUGCAAUCUUGCUGCUAUACCUUGUGGCCUUAGGAAUGAGCUCUGGUUAAUCAAAACGUGAUUGUGUUUAAUUUCUCAAUAUAUGUUUCCAUACAAAAGUCGAACGGCUGAGAUAGGAAUGCAAACCAAUGUUUAAAUAUUGUCUUCCCUUAAAAAAAGAAGGAAAAAAAAGAGAAAAAAAAAAAAAAAGGAAAAGUGUGAAACUAUUUUAACUGUUUACUAAAUGCUUUGUGUUACUUUGUACUUUUAGGUCCUUCCCUCCUCUGCUGCCUCCCCCCUCAGACCCAAAUAAACAAAUAAGCGCUGCCAAGAGCUUUUCAGCUGGUGUCCUUUGCUGCCUUCCCUCCUCAGCCAUCCCCUGCGCUGAAAGCAAUGCUUUCCAGCACGUCUCUUCUCAUUCUUCUGCCUUUGCUCGCUGGUUGUUAUAUCACACUAUUUUUAAUUAUAUCUUGAUUUUCGUAACAUUAUUGUACGUUGUUAUGUUUCUAGAAUGCAAACGUGAGCGUAAUGGGAUCUAUUUUUCAGAGUUGCCAAAACAAAUUAAGGAAAACGCUCGGCUCUUCCUUUGCCAAAUGUUUUAGUGCUUUUCCGUGAAAGCAAAUCUUAUUUCUAACUGUAUAUUAAGCCUUAAGUAAAUAAUGCAGUCUGUCAGAAGCAAAUUCUAUUGUAAAAGCAGUAACUGUUCCCAGGCUUUGCCUGUGAUGCCCGCACGCUGCUCUGCCCGGGAAGGACUGGGCUAGCAAUGAAUUACUGCUCAUUUCAAUCUGCCUUUCACAGAAACGUCUAACUUUUUUGUUUACACUGGACCCAGAUCCCAUAAAUAUGGAGUAUCUGUUGCGGCCGCUCCACGUCUGCCCAGCUGAACUCCAUGAUUUUGACUAGAGGUGACAGCUGAAAAGCACCAGAAACCCUUGGAAUUUCAGAUCUAUAUAUUACUAUAAAGGAAGAAAAUAAAGUUCCGCUAGUAGAAGACCUUGGAAGGGUGUGUGUCCUGAACAAUUUCCAUUGUGGAGAAACGCAACAAAUAACAAAGUGCAGUCAAAGCUAGCCCUGCUCCGUGAUGAAUUUCAAGGAGCGUGACCAAUAAUCUUCUACUUAUCUUAAAAACCCUAUGGAAGUACUAGACCAGUUCCAACAGAAGUGAGAGCAAACUGUGGGAAAAAAAAAAACCCUCACAAAAAAGCCAUCUGUCUGAGAACAACCCGAGAAUCCUAAGUCCACCCAAGUAGUCACUGCGUGUUUUUCUGCACUGCUAAUGGAUUGCAUAUUGUUGAAAAUAUGAAUUACAGAAUAAAUCAGGAGAGAGUGACAAUUACGGGUCCGAUUCUGUUCUUGGCUGCGGUGGCAUUAUUGACCUAAUGUUGUUUUCUGCUAUUGUGGGGCACAUUGGAUAAUUAUCCAAUUUAAGAACAACUCCAGACCGAAGGAGUAAAUGGGAGCUGUCUGAAGGCAGGGACUGCCAGAGGAGCCAGGCUGACAGUCGGUGAGGUUCAGACCACUGUAGGCUGUGGAUUUUCCCAAAGCUUUAUACGCUGCUAUUAACUCUGCCACAUAUACUCCAUGGUAUGAAAUACAUGUCUUAAAUAU
ensembl:lncRNA